ACUCAAAUGAAUUGACGGGGGCCCGCACAAGCGGUGGAACAUGUGGUUCAAUUCGACGCAACGCGAAGAACCUUACCUGGGCUUGAACCGCUACUGACCAACGGUGGAAACAUCGUCUUCUCGCAAGAGACAGUAGUAGAGGUGCUGCAUGGCUGUCGUCAGCUCGUGCCGUGAGGUGUUGGGUUAAGUCCCGCAACGAGCGCAACCCUUACUCUUAGUUGCCACCCGCAAGGGGGAACUCUAAGAGGACUGCUCCGGAUAACGGAGAGGAAGGUGGGGAUGACGUCAAGUCAGCACGGCCUUUAUGUCCAGGGCUACACACGUGUUACAAUGCACGGUACAGACUGUUGCGAACCCGCGAGGGGGAGCCAAUCGGAAAAACCGUGCUCAGUUCGGAUUGCAGUCUGCAACUCGACUGCAUGAAGCUGGAAUCGCUAGUAAUGGCGUAUCAGAACGACGCCGUGAAUACGUUCCCGGGCCUUGUACACACCGCCCGU
rnacentral:rRNA from 1 species